UACGAAGGGGGCUAGCGUUGCUCGGAAUCACUGGGCGUAAAGGGUGCGUAGGCGGGUUUUUAAGUCAGAGGUGAAAUCCUGGAGCUCAACUCCAGAACUGCCUUUGAUACUGAGAAUCUUGAGUCCGGGAGAGGUGAGUGGAACUGCGAGUGUAGAGGUGAAAUUCGUAGAUAUUCGCAAGAACACCAGUGGCGAAGGCGGCUCACUGGCCCGGUACUGACGCUGAGGCACGAAAGCGUGGGGAGCAAACGGG
rnacentral:rRNA from 1 species